rnacentral:rRNA from 1 species
AACAUACCGAAAGGUAUGCUAAUACGAGAUAAUAUGCUUUUAUCGCAUGGUAGAAGUAUCAAAGCUCCGGCGGUACAGGAUGGACCCGCGUCUGAUUAGCUAGUUGGUGAGGUAACGGCUCACCAAGGCGACGAUCAGUAGCCGACCUGAGAGGGUGAUCGGCCACAUUGGAACUGAGACACGGUCCAAACUCCUACGGGAGGUAGCAGUGGGGAAUAUUGCACAGGGGGCGAAAGCCUGAUGCAGCAACGCCGC